AUACGGAGGGUGCUAGCGUUACUCGGAAUCACUGGGCGUAAAGCGCGCGCAGGCGGGCUGAUAAGUUGGAUGUGAAAGCCUACGGCUCAACCGUAGAACUGCAUCCAAAACUGUCAGUCUAGAGUGUGGGAGAGGAAGAUGGAAUUAGUUGUGUAGGGGUAAAAUCCGUAGAGAUAACUAGGAAUACCAAAAGCGAAGGCAAUCUUCUGGAACACUACUGACGCUGAGGCGCGAAGGCGUGGGGAGCAAACAGGAUUAGAAACCCGAGUAGUCC
rnacentral:rRNA from 1 species